UGGGGAAUAUUGGACAAUGGGCGAAAGCCUGAUCCAGCCAUGCCGCGUGUGUGAAGAAGGUCUUCGGAUUGUAAAGCACUUUAAGUUGGGAGGAAGGGCAGUAAGCGAAUACCUUGCUGUUUUGACGUUACCGACAGAAUAAGCACCGGCUAACUCUGUGCCAGCAGCCGCGGUAAUACAGAGGGUGCAAGCGUUAAUCGGAAUUACUGGGCGUAAAGCGCGCGUAGGUGGUUCGUUAAGUUGAAUGUGAAAGCCCCGGGCUCAACCAGGGAACUGCAUCCGAAACUGGCGAUCUAGAGUAGGGCAGAGGGUAGUGGAAUUUCCUGUGUAGCGGUGAAAUGCGUAGAUAUAGGAAGGAACACCAGUGGCGAAGGCGACCACCUGGGCUCAUACUGACACUGAGGUGCGAAAGCGUGGGGAGCAAACAGG
rnacentral:rRNA from 1 species